rnacentral:rRNA from 1 species
UGAGGAAUAUUGCGCAAUGGACGAAAGUCUGACGCAGCGACGCCGCGUGGAGGAUGACGGUUUUCGGAUUGUAAACUCCUGUUAAGUGGGAAGAAAUCCCUGGUUCCAAUACAGCCGGGGGAUGACGGUACCAUUAGAGAAAGCACCGGCUAACUUCGUGCCAGCAGCCGCGGUAAUACGAGGGGUGCGAGCGUUAUUCGGAAUCAUUGGGCGUAAAGGGUGCGUAGGCGGCAAAUUAAGUCAGCUGUUAAAUUUCCUGGCCUAACCAGGAACAUGCGGUCGAUACUGAUAUGCUAGAGGAUGGAAGAGAGAAGUGGAAUUCUCGGAGUAGCGGUAAAAUGCGUAGAUCUCGAGAGGAACACCGAUGGCGAAGGCAGCUUCUUGGUCCAUAUCUGACGCUGAGUGCACGAAAGCGUGGGGAGCAAACAGGAUUAGAUACCCUGGUAGUCCACGCCGUAAACGAUGAUCACUAGACGUUAGUUCUG